CACCAAGGCGACGAUCAGUAGCCGGCCUGAGAGGGCGACCGGCCACAUUGGGACUGAGACACGGCCCAGACUCCUACGGAAGGCAGCAG
rnacentral:rRNA from 1 species